UUAAUGGGUGAACUGCUCGAAGUGGACAUUUCACAGCUCAUUGAAACAUUUCCGAAUCAACACGAAUACCUGAGGUCCGUGGCCGAGGGACACUGCGAUGAACCAGUUCGGCCACGCAAGGAAUCCUCUUCCAUCGCUGUCUCCAAGAACUUCCCCGGAAAAUUAUCGAUUCGAUCGGUGUUGGAGCUGAAAAAAUGGCUCGACGGGCUCACGAAAGAGCUCGCAAAGCGUUUGGCAACGGAUCAAGCGGAAAAUAAGCGAACUGCCGAGAAUCUGGUGUACUCACUGCUCACAGAGGACGGGAAACCACAAAAAACGCUGAAAAUCACCAGUUAUCACCCGGAUACACUUUUUGAGCAGAUUUGGGCAGCUAUGAAGGGAUUAAAUAAGACAAAUGCCACUAAAAAUGAGGGUAAUAAUAAAAAAAAAUUAAUUUUUAUAGCUGGAAAUUUGAAAAAAGUACGCAAAAAUUAGAAAAAAAGCGGCAAAAACACUUUUUUAACAGUUUUUUCAGUAAAAAAAAAUUUGUGGCCUAGUUUUUAGGAUUUCUAGGCCACCUGUUGGAAAAUGCCGGUUUUUAGAUUUUUGGAUUAAAUAUUUGAAAUUUAAACGAUUUCGACUGAAAAACAACGCAUAAAACCGCAAAUCUGAUACAAUAAUUGAGUAUUUGCCCUAAAAAUACGAUUUCCCGUGGCUUUUCACUGAAAGCUGACAAAAAUUUGAAUUUUCCCCAGGAAAAUUCCAAAAAUCACCAAAAGUCGAUAUUUCUGUGACAAAUGUGCUCUAUUAUCAAAUUGUUGGCAGAAACACUGUAUUUAUUCACAUUUUCAACCCUAAAUUGGCUGAAAAUGUGAAUAAAUACCGUAUUUCUGCCAACAAUUUGACAAUAGAGCACAUUUGUCACUCGGAGAUGCGUAAGCUAUGCCCAAAUUUUCAUUUUUUCGGAAAACUUCAGAUUUUUCACUAAUUUUUUUCAAUUUUCAGUCUGUUUUGAAGCUUUUCAGUGAAAAAAUCGAAUUUCCCGUUAGUUUCUAAGUCUAAAACUCGGAAUUUGAGUUUUCCGGGGUACUGUAGCGCCAAAAGUACGCAAACACCAAAUUUCUCACGGCAAAAUGCAGAAUUGUCUGAAAAAUCGCGAAAAUUGUCUAUCAAGGGGUAAUAAUAGGCUGUGAAUUCAAAUUUUGCUCGAAAAAUUUAUAAAAACUUGAAGUUUAACAAGAAAAUGCCAAUUUUUUAGAAAAAAUUUUGAAAACCCAUUUUUUUUUCCAAAUUUCUUAAAUUUCCUCAAUUUCUAAGUAUCAAAUUCGAAUUCUCCACUGAUUUUCAACCCUAAAAACUAUUCUUCUGGGUUUCUAGCUCCAAAUUUUAAAUUCGCAGGGUACGGUAGCUCCAAAAGUACGCAAACACCGCGGAGCUUACGAAAAAAUGCACAAUUUUCAAAAAACUUGAGAAAAGCAUCGCGAUAGGGGUAAUAAGUACUCCGGAAUCCGAAUUUCCUAAUGAAAAUUUAUAAAAUUGAGAGGUUUUCUAGAUUUUUUCAAAAUUUUCAUUGUCAGACUCCGGUCCCUGGACACCGCCAAUUCUCAACAUUUCACUAUCAGCGACACGUUUUCAACCCGGAAUUCCUGCACAAAAUCGAUCGAUUCACGAAUGGCUUUACGAGAAAAAAACGCGAAAAUCGCGUCGAAAAGCGGCGAUUUACGAUGAAAAUGAUGGUCGAGAAGAUGUGAUUUUUGUUGAACCGCCGGAAAAAGUACCGGAAAAUGAUCAAAAAUCCGAGUUUUUAGUGAAAAAAUCGAAUUUUUUUCAGCUGAAAAAGCCGAAUCCAACACCAAAAUCCACUGGAACAGACGGAGAUUUCAUUGUUUUAGGCUCAGAUUCGGAUGAUGACGUUGUACAGCCAAAAACUGAUGAUAAUUGGAUUUUUGUCGAUGGAAAGAAAUUUUCAAAAAUGGCCUGGAGGCACCUACCGCCUGACAUUAAAAAGG
rnacentral:sRNA from 1 species